ACGCAUUAAGCACUCCCGCCCUGGGGAGUACGGUCGCAAGACUGAAAACUCAAAGGAAUUGACGGGGGGCCCGCACAAGCGGUGGAGCAUGUGGUUUAAUUCGAAAGCAACGCGAGAGAACCUUACCAGGUCUUGACAUCCCGUUGACCACCGUAGAGAUAUAGUUUCCCCUUCGGGGGCAACGGUGACAGGUGGUGCAUGGUUGUCGUCAGCUCGUGUCGUGAGAUGUUGGGUUAAGUCCCGCAACGAGCGCAACCCUUGAUCUUAGUUGCCAUCAUUUAGUUGGGCACUUUAAGGUGACUGCCGGUGACAAACCGGAGGAAGGUGGGGAUGACGUCAAAUCAUCAUGCCCCUUAUGACCUGGGCUACACACGUGCUACAAUGGACGAUACAAACGGUUGCCAACUCGCGAGAGGGAGCUAAUCCGAUAAAGUCGUGGUCAGUUCGGAUUGUAGGCUGCAACUCGCCUACAUGAAGCCGGAAUCGCUAGUAAUCGCGGAUCAGCAUUUUCGGGGUGAAUACGUUCCCGGGCCUUGUAC
rnacentral:rRNA from 1 species